UACGUAGGGGGCAAGCGUUGUCCGGAUUUACUGGGCGUAAAGAGCGUGUAGGCGGCCAAGCAGGUCCGUUGUGAAACUGGAGGCCUUAACCUCCAGACGUCGACGGAAACCGCGUGGCUAGAGUCCGGAAGAGGAGAGGUGGAAUUCCUGGUGUAGCGGUGAAAUGCGCAGAUAUCAGGAAGAACACCAAUGGCGAAGGCAGCUCUCUGGGACGGUACUGACGCUGAGACGCGAAAGCGUGGGGAGCGAACAGG
rnacentral:rRNA from 1 species